rnacentral:rRNA from 1 species
CUACGGGUGGCUGCAGUGGGGAAUAUUGAACAAUGGGCGAAAGCCUGAUCCAGCAAUGCCGCGUGAGUGAUGAAGGCCUUAGGGUUGUAAAGCUCUUUUACCCGGGAUGAUAAUGACAGUACCGGGAGAAUAAGCUCCGGCUAACUCCGUGCCAGCAGCCGCGGUAAUACGGAGGGAGCUAGCGUUGUUCGGAAUUACUGGGCGUAAAGCGCACGUAGGCGGCUUUGUAAGUCAGAGGUGAAAGCCUGGGGCUCAACUCCAGAACUGCCUUUGAGACUGCAUCGCUUGAAUCCAGGAGAGGUGAGUGGAAUUCCGAGUGUAGAGGUGAAAUUCGUAGAUAUUCGGAAGAACACCAGUGGCGAAGGCGGCUCACUGGACUGGUAUUGACGCUGAGGUGCGAAAGCGUGGGGAGCAAACAGGAUUAGAUACCCUUGUAGUC